AACGCACAUUGCGCCCCUCGGUAUUCCGUGGGGCACGCCUGUUCGAGCGUCAUUUACACCUUCAAGCCUAGCUUGGUGUUGGGCGUCUGUCCCGCACUCGUUGCGCGGACUCGCCUCAAAGUCAUUGGCGGCGGUCGUGCCGGCUCCUCGCGCAGCACAUUUGCGCUUCUCGGAGGCCCGGCGGAUCAGCAUCCAGCAAGCUACUUUUAUGACUUGACCUCGGAUCAGGUGAGGAUACCCGCUGAACUUAA
rnacentral:misc_RNA from 1 species